GAGAUCCAAAUUGAUGCAUAUCAUUAAUAGCUAGCCAUAUUCUCAUUCACUCAAAACACACAAGAAGGCUAUCCCAAGAUCACCCAUCUAUCCACCUCUUUCCUUUUAAACAAUGCCCAAUAUUAGAAAGGAAUACUUAAGGAAUUAACUAAUAAGUUUGGCUCCAUACUUACGGAAUCAACUACUAACUCAGGCUCCCAAAGAUUUUUGACUCAGAAUAUGGUUCGACGGGAAAUAUUAAUACUAAAUAAGUGGCCAUUGACAAUCAAUCCUGUAAGGCGAAAGAUGGAUAUAGGAGAAAAAAAGAGGUGGGGGGUGGUUGUUACGUUAUACAACUUGCACCUCAUAGUUCAAAAGACCUAUGAUCAAGAGAAGUUUAGUUCAGGCUCAUCUAGUUGUCACACUAUUCUUUCAGGAUACGGUAGUCUCGGAGCUAGCUUAUGUGCUUCUUGACUAUUCUACCGAGUACAUGCAUCCUCUAGCCAGCACAAGUACGUUAACACUUAUUUCCUCUAUCUUUUUGCUUUCCUGAUAUGAAAAUGCGGAGUAGGUACCAGCACAACAACAAAGGUCUUAAUUAUGCGAAUAUAACAUCGAUUCUAAUCAUCGAAGAUAUAAUUUAUUUUUUCUAUUUCUUCAGAAACAAUAAUGUGAAGCACGAACCUUAAUGAGUACAUUAAAUGUUGAUUUUACACAAACUGGUAAGCAUAACCCAGGCAAACAACAUGAAUAAUAAGUUUAAACAAAAUAUUGGAACGAACUCUGCAAGUAUAAAACAUUCAGGGAGUUUUCAUCAAAAAUCACUUGGCAACCAUCCUAGCAAUGAAAUCCUCAUACCGGAUCUUCCCAUCGGAUCCAACAUCAACUUCUCGGAUCCACUCAUCAAAUUCCGCAGGUUCAAGCUUCUCCCCAAUACUCGUUAAAAUAUGCUUUAGAUCCGAAACGACGACGAAACCAGUGCCGUCUUUAUCAAGGACCUUGAACGCGCCGCGCAAUUGGCGAUCAAAUGAUCGGAUCCAACAUCAACUUCUCGGAUCCACUCAUCAAAUUCCGCAGGUUCAAGCUUCUCCCCAAUACUCGUUAAAAUAUGCUUUAGAUCCGAAACGACAACGAAACCAGUGCCGUCUUUAUCAAGUACCUUGAACGCGCCGCGCAAUUGGCGAUCAAAUGGCUCCGGUUUGAGGUGUUUUGACAUGAGAU
rnacentral:lncRNA from 1 species